rnacentral:rRNA from 1 species
CGCAUCUGUGCAUGCAGCAUAUCAAUAAGCGGAGGAAAAGAAACUAACAAGGAUUCCCUUAGUAACGGCGAGUGAAGCGGGAAGAGCUCAAAUUUGAAAUCUUCAAGGUUUUACCUUGACGAAUUGUAGUUUAAAGAAGUGUUUUCUGCUGAAGUUUUGGUAAAAGUUCUUUGGAAUAGGACAUCAUAGAGGGUGAGAAUCCCGUAUUUGACCAUUAUUUUCAGCUUUGUGAUACACUUUCAAAGAGUCGGAUUGUUUGGGAAUGCAGUCCGAAAUGGGUGGUAAAUUUCAUCUAAAGCUAAAUAUUGGCGAGAGACCGAUAGCGAACAAGUACCGUGAGGGAAAGAUGAAAAGAACUUUGAAAAGAGAGUUAAACAGUACGUGAAAUUGUCAAAAGGGAAGCGUUUGACACCAGUGUUGUUUUCCUCGAAAAUCAAUUAAAAAUGGCUCGAUUUUGUAUUGCUGAGACCUUAAAAGCUCACUGUACAUUUUUCGUGUCUUUUUUAAUGCACUUUUCGUUUAACAAGUCAACAUCAGUUUCUUUUGUUGUAAAAGGGUCAUUGGAAGGUGGCUUUCUUUUCGGAGAAAGUGUUUAUAGGCCUUUGGCCUCUGCAAUCGGAGAGACUGAGGUCUGCAGCGUAGACUCUUCGGGGUUAGAUACAUUUGUGCUAAGUUAUAGCUUUUUAUAGACAACUUGUUGACUAUAAUUAGUCUUGUAGCUUACUCGCUUAUGCUAUUUUACCUACGCUUAGGAUGUUGACGCAUGAGAUAUACGC